CAGUAGCCGCGGUAAUACGGAGGGAGCUAGCGUUGUUCGGAAUUACUGAGCGUAAAGCGCACGUAGGCGGUUAUUCAAGUCAGAGGUGAAAGCCCGGGGCUCAACCCCGGAACUGCCUUUGAAACUAGAUGACUGGAAUCUUGGAGAGGUCAGCGGAAUUCCUAGUGUAGAGGUGAAAUUCGUAGAUAUUCGGAAGAACACCAGUGGCGAAGGCGACUGACUGGACAAGUAUUGACGCUGAGGUGCGAAAGCGUGGGGAGCAAACAGGAUUAGAUACCCCUGUAGUCCCUGUCUCUUAUAC
rnacentral:rRNA from 1 species